CUGGGGCUGCAGUACAGUUGUUUAAUCCUCAUGGCAGCGGAGGAAGUUCACAUCAAGGAAGGGCCCCCUCACUCUUCCUGCUCUGCUGGCUUGAUUUUUAAAGAGACAACACGAUGUUUCUGCUGGAGGAGGCCCUGCAGCUCAGGACUCCCUGCGUUUUGUCUGCUGGCGAGGAUCCGAUGGGGCUUGUACAACAAAGGACAACACAUGGGCUGGAGAUUCCACGUCACUGGAGACUCACAGCCGAUGCUGCUCGGGAACCAGAGGAAAACCUGGGAGGAUGCAGUGCCUUCCUGUCUCCUCCAGAAAACCUUCAUUUCUGGGCAGCACUUUCACUGUGACUGUUACCGAGUCCAAGCCUGUGCUGGUCGCUGAGCGACAGGUCAAAACAUCAAGAGCUGAGUUGUGCGGGAUGCAAGACGCAGAAGUUUGCAUUUUACCUUGGAGGCCACAUUCAGGCAUUCUCUAGCCGCUGGACUCCUGAAGACAUCAAUGACACGUAAGCCCUGAAUCUUCAUCGGAUCCAUCUGCCAUCCUCUCUAACGUAUGUAUUUCACCAAGGUGAACUUGUUAUUUCUUCUGUCCAAUCACCACGAUGUCAUUGUGUUCUGUAGGAUGCUCAGGUGGUCCACAUAUCUUCAGGCCAUUUUAUGAAGAAGCUAGAAGUUCCUAUAGCCAUGGGCAAAGUGCUAACUGAAUACUGGUUUCCAUCCCACAUAAAUGCAAACUGUUUCUAACCCUCUUUCUUGAUUGGAAUUGAAAAGAAAGCAUCUGCCAGGUCAAUGAUUGUUUGUCAUGGACGGAAUCCAACACAGUCCCUGAGAGCAGGGUGGCUGUUUGUUUUGUCUGUUGUAGACUGUAGUCAUUCCCUCAGAUCUAUUCACCUUCUGUGGAGACCAGACCGGUACAUUAAAUGGAGACAGAAUUGGUACAAUGACUUUGCACCCCCGAGGUCUUUAAUGGUGACACAAAUUUCUGCCACCCCUCUCAGAAUGCAAUAUUGUUUUUGAUUUACUGCCUUGAAGGACCGGGAUAUUUUCAGAGGUUUCUGUUUGGUGUCCUCUGCUACGAUAGGACUUAUCCCAAAGAUGAGGGUCCCGGUGUUGACGAUAAUCCAACCACUAAGUACAGCCAUUACGAUGGUAAGGAAGUGGUCACAGGUGUGUCGGUGGAAAAAGCAGGACCAUCUAGAGCUGGACAUCGAGCAGAACUCUAUCUAUCGCCAGGCCCCAGAGGCCCCCACUCUGAGAAGAGGGCCAUGAUGACACUCUGGAUCUCCAGGGGUCAAUGUCAACUUGGACCCAAUAGUUCUUACAUUAUCUGGGUCUUCCCCUUUCCCCAGUGACCUAGCAUAUGACCUUCCUGGGGGUGCUACUGAUAUGAGCUGAGUUGUGUUUACCCCCCAGAGAAGACAGGUUGAAGUCCCAACCCCUAUACGUGUGGAUGUGACCUUGUUUGGAAAUAAGAUUUUUUGCAGGUUUAACCACAGCAGGAUGAGUUCAGUUCAUGAAGGUGGACCCCAGUCCGAUGUAACUGGAGCCAUUAUAAAAAGGGGCAGUUUGACAGAGAAGGGCCUGCCCAGAGGAAAGGGGGUGUGAAGACACAUGGAGAGAUCCACGUGAAGCUGGGGGACGGGGCUGAUGUGUCUGCCAGAGCUUCCUGGAGAGGCACUGGAAGCCAGCAAGGUGCCAGGAGAGAUGACCUGCAGGUCUGAGAGGGCGCCUGGCCCUGCCCACGCCCUGCUGUCAGGGAAGCCACACUGUGGCUUCCAGAACUGUAAGAGAAUAAACUUCUCUUGUCAUCGGUCAGCUACUUGGGGUGCUUUAGGAGGCUAAUGCAUCUCUGACCCCAGUGGGGCUGGCAGUGGCGUUGCAGAGCUCCACCGCUGCAGCCAGCGGGUUCCAUAUCUGAGGGCUUCCCAGGUGGCACCAGCAGUAAGGAAUCCACUGCCAGCGCAGGAGAUGCAAGAGACGCAGGUUCGAUCCCUGGUCCAGGAAGAUGCCCUGGAGGAGAAAACAGCAGCCCACCUGCGUACUCUUGCCUGGAAAAUCCCAUGGACAGAGGAGCCUGGUGGGCUACAGUCCAUGGGGUCGCAGAAGAGUCGGACAGGACUGAGGAACUAAACAGCAACACAAGCCUCUAGGAGCUGAGAGAAGAGGCGGGAAGCUCCCGAGGGGCCCGAGAAAGGCUGCAGAGUCCUGGGCUGAGACCCAGCUGUGGCCUCAUGGAGGGAGGAAGGCAUCAGUGCAGGUCUAAGAGAGGCUCAGCCAGGCCGAUGGGGAGUCCUAAUGCCAAAGCCUUUCUCUCUCUUUUUUAAAUUUUUUGGCUGUAGCUUGCAGCUUGUGGGAUCUCCAUUCCCUGACCAAGGACUGAAUCUGGGCCACAUCAGUGAAAGCCUGGAAUCCUAACCACUAGGCAACCAGGAAACUCCUACCAAAGCCAUUCUUUAGAGGAACCUACAUGUCCCAGACAUAAAGAUGUCCCCUUUUUGAACACAAGACCCUCCAUUGCUUUGUUUGUGAAUCGAGGCUGAUGGUGGUGCUAGUGGUAAAGAACCCGCCUGCCAAUGCAGGAGACCUAAGAGACGCGGGUUCUCUCCCUGGGUCGGGAAGAUCCCCUGGAGAAGGGCAUGGCAACCCACUCCAGGAUUCUUGCCUGGAGAACCCCAUGGACAGAGGAGCCUGGCAGGCCAAAGUCCACGGGGUUGCACAGAGUCAGACACGACUGAAGCGUCUUAGCACACAGUGCCCAAGGAUCAGAUGAGGCAGUGCCUGAGCAUGUAGCCCGCUGAUGGGGGCAAGCCAUGCCACCCCCUUCCCCUGCCCAAUGCAGAUGGCACGGAGUCACCAAAAAGUUUGUUUUUCCCCAGGAGGGACUGAUUCAGCAGCUGAACUUGCUAUACUGUCUCAAUACAGUAUAGCAAGUGGUUUCUGAAACAAAAUCUAAUUCCUAAGCAGGACCUAGGCACUGUCCGGCUCUCUGUCCCCAGAAAAGUCUUUGUUGAGACGCCUAAGACAUUUCAAGGGCUUAUGAAUGGGUAGCUGUGUUUAAUGAGUAUAUUCUGUAACUUCCAGGCAUUCUGUUCAGAUGGCAUUAUCCAAACAGUGCUGAGCAAAACUUCAGUUCAUCGGGGGACACCGAGCACACCUCCUUGGGUUCUUUGCCAGUUCUUGAUUUAGGGAAGUUGAGGGCGGAGGCUCCGUAACCAUGGAGGAGAGAGGAGGCAGGACACGGGUGUGUGCGCAGGCGGAGAGUGGGCGGAGGCAGGAAGGGCCUGCUUCUCCGCUGGGGAGGGGAACGGGGAGGGCUGCACAGGGUCACAGGUCUGUGUCCCCGAGAGCAGGUUAGGAAACACUGGGUUACGGUCUUCAACCCCAGAGGCUCCUGCCUUUAGGAGUGAAGAUGAAGGGAAGGGAACAAUUUUUCUUCCGUCUGCUCUUGUCUCUGCGCUCUCCCACCUGAUCAGACGGCACUUGUGCAGCUCUGGGUGGCAUGGAGUGGGUGCGCCUCAAAGCAGCCUGUGCUGGCUUCACGCUGUGUGCACACGUGCACACCAGUCACACACGCACACACGCGCAAAAACGUGCACACAACUCACACGCACAGCUGCAAAACCACACACAUGUACACUCAAGCACUCACACACAUACUCACAUUCAUACACAAACAUGCACACACUCACACACAAUCACACACAUGUGCAAAACACACACAACUCACGCACACAUGCAAAACCACACACAGAUGCACACUAAACACACAGGCACUCGCACACAAACAUGCACACACAAUCACACAUGUACACAUGUCAACACAACUUAUAUGCACACACAGUUACACAUGUAUGCAUGAAAAACCACACACGUGCACACUCAAGCACUCAUGUACACUCACACAUAAACAUACGCACGAUGUUUUCAGCAGUUUCCUAUAGCAGUGGCUGCAAGGAGGCAGGCAGUGUCUCCACGGUCAGUCAGGCUCCAGGCCGGGCCCUGCAUGACUAGCUCACCAGCUGACACGCACACGUCUCACCGUGAUACCGUCUUCUCAUUGUUUUAGGCAGACAUUUUUUUCUCUUUGCCCAGAGGGAGGAAGCCGGCUGCACUCUCUUCCCUUCCUCCUUUUCCCUCGUAGCUUCCACAUGUACAUUUUCCUGUUUAACUCCUUGGUGUCAAGGAGAAAGCCCUCUCAUAAUUUCCAGGCAUACAGACUUGUCUGCAGGCCCUGAAAGAGGCUGGUCCUCGCCUUUGGACCGCCUGUGGGAACUCUCUGGUUCCAGCCUGGAUUCCUCCUUCUGGAAGGGUUUGUGUCCCAAAUGCCUCUCUUCGGGUAGGCUGUAAGAGGUCAUGAUGGCUAUCGUUUAGAGUUUGGGAUUUCUUCAUUUUCCUGAUGCUUCUCCCUGCUUGCUCCCUGUGUGACGUCUGCACAUCCUUGACUUUUGCUGAUUAUUUUGGGGAAGUGUCCUUUUGCAUUUAAAGGGGUAAUCAUUUCCCGUGUGUGUUGGGAGGGGAAAGGAAGAUAGGCUAGGCUAGGACAGCAAAUACUGGGGAAGAAUACGGCCCUGUCCUGCUGGGAGAGGCAUUUCUCUCAGUGCCUUGGAUGAGGCAGCCUGGGAGGGGCUUUCUUCUUUCUGUGAUUUCGUUUUUUCUGGAAGUGUGGUUGACUUGCAGGGUUGUGCCUGUCUCUGCGGUGCGGCAGUGACUCGGCUGCGCGUGCUGACGUUCUUUGGUAGUCUUUUCCGCGACGGUUUAUCACAGGAUACCGCAGUGUGCCCCCUACUCUUUAUCCAUUGAAUGUAGCCGUUUGCAUUUGCAACAUCAGCUUCCCAGCCCAUCCCUUCCCCCCCCCCCCCCCCCCACCCCCCACCCCGCCCUCGGCGAGCAUAAAUCUGUCCUUUACGUCUGUGAGUCUGUUUCUGCGCUGCUUUGGUGGAACAGGCCCGGGUGACUGUUUGGCUAUGUGAAUUAGAGAGGACUCCGCAUCACAGGACAGGAAAUCUGCAGUUAGUGGACAGUGAGGUCAACAGGAGCCGACCUGCCAGGAGUGCCCUAUGUGGGCGGGACAAGGGCAGGGGGCUCCGGGGGUGGAGGGGCACCGGCGGCCAGACUGCACUGAGCAGACAGACGGGAUCCCUUGCCGCUGAGGGGAUCAGGAGUCAGGGAAGCGGGGGGAGCCCCCUGGAGUCAGGGAGAGGGAGGUCUGGAAGGUGGAGGGGUGCUGAGGGGGCAGGGAGGUCUCGAGGAAGAAGAGAUUUCUUGUGGAUGUGGAGGAGAUGUGUUUCAGACACAAAGAGCUGAAAGUGCCCGUGGGAACAUCCAGAAUGUCCCUGAAACGUGGGUCAGCCCUUUAGGAGUGGGGUUUGUACCAAGGAUGUGGGGACGGGCGUCACUUGCUUAGAGGUGACAGUCAAGACUGUAAGGAGAGAUGAGACUCCUGAGGGCCUGUGAUGCGUUAGGAAAUUUAGAUUGCUAAGCUCCAUCCUGACACUUCCUUUUGUAGGAUAGAUAGGCAGAUGAAAGAUAGUUGAUUGAUCGAUGGAUAGAUAGAUAUAGACAUGGUAUCUCUUAUGAGCUGUGUUUCUACUGAAAUAAGACCUUGUUGGCAUUUUCUGGUUGUCUAAAUAUGUUCACAGAAAACUCACCACACUCAUCAGGGGCUUAAACUCUUGGUCUGCAAGCACAGUACCAGUCUGGGGCUCCUGCUUCACUGCCCUCAGCUGCAAGGUGGGCCUGUCUAGUGGGGUGAGCCCUCCGCUCUCGAUGUUUCCUGCUCUGCAGGGCCGUCUAGAGGCUGCGUCCACACUCGGUCAUGGAGGACGCUUGCACGGGUCCCAUCUCAGCGGCGGUGCUCCCGGCUCCCACUGGGUUCCCCUAAAGCCUGGGGAGGACUCCUGCAGGGCCCCUUCCAGCACUCACACAGGACCCCCUGGAAAUAAGGGCCAGUGUGACGGGGUGCGGCACGGGAGGGAUGCCCCAUCUCUCAGGCCAGUUUUUCUGAGAUGCCCUCAGGGGGGUGUGCUCCAGCCCAGCAGGAUCUCUUUCCAGGCAGUGGUCUUGGUAGCCAGUCUGGUAACACAUCCUUGUGUUGACUUGUCCUCCUUCACUCACUCUUGCUCCCCGGACCUUCUUCCCAGAUACACUGCUGCACGUACACGUGACACUCAGCUUUCAGGGAAACGCAGGCUGGGGCCGAUGGGGUCUUCUAACCUGCUGGACCGGACCCCUGGGGCUUCACCUUUCCUACCGCAGACAGGAAUGAGAUGGGAUGGGGUGAUGGGG
ensembl:lncRNA